CUGCACUGUCACUGCCCACAAACUUUUCCAAAGUGCAGAAAACCACUGUUUCUUAAUUGCCUCAGCAGACUAUGAAUUACACUAAUUGGGGCACCUGCAAGCAGAAAAUGGAUAAUAAAUACAAAGUGCUCAUUGUGGACCGAGAGCAGAGUGCCAUCCACUGCCGCCCUGUGCUGCUGAAGCUGUGCUGCAUGGCACACUAUACCUGCAGCCCACUUCUCUGGGAGCUGCAGAACAUGUAGUGAGCAAUGAGAAACAUUUUAAACAACUUAUUGCACUUCUACUGUUACACGGCAUGGAAAGCAGCCUGCUUAGUGAGGAGAUGCAGGCAGUGAAGGAGGAGAUAUAUUUCCAUUUUAAUAUGAGCUCUUCUCAAGGUGAAUUAAUAGAGGUUUCUUACAAUGACCUAAACAGAACUUCGAUUUCUCAUGCCUGUAAGCACUCUGCAUUUUUUAUAAUUCAUCCAGGUUUGUUAUGGGGACGUCAGCUGGACCACAAAGCAAACACUUUGUGAGGUGCUCACCUGCAAUUUCACCACAAACAGGAGAGGUCCUGGAGCGAACCGAUGGCAUUGGGAGUUUGCUCCUGGCCAGCCCAGAUUGCCUCCAUCUACCAAACCUCAUCCCAGUGGUCUCUCCUGAAGCUCAUGUUUGCCACCCAUGGAGCCACAGCCUGCUGAAGACACUUUGGUAUGGCAUUAUGCAUCCCAUCAUCAGGAAUAAUAAAUGGACAUCACUGUGCUUGGAUUACACAGCUUGAGCUGAAGGACCAGGCCCUGGUGUGGAGAGGUGGCUGCUCACCUCUUCAGCUGCUGCCUG
ensembl:lncRNA